GCCAUCAGAGUAGCACAGUUGGUAGAGCAUGAGACUCUUAAUCUAAUGGGUCAUGGGUUUGAGCCCUAUGUUGGGCA